UUGGAGGGCAAGUCUGGUGCCAGCAGCCGCGGUAAUUCCAGCUCCAAUAGCGUAUAUUAAAGUUGUUGCAGUUAAAAAGCUCGUAGUUGAAUUUCGGGGUUCUACCGUUGGUCGGGCUUUGUCUGUACUGGUGUGUAGAAUUUCUACCUUCUGGGGAACCAUCAUGCUAUUAAUUUAGCGUGGUGGGAAACCAGGACCUUUACCUUGAAAAAAUUAGUGUGUUCAAAGCAGGCUUAUGUCUGAAUACAUUAGCGUGGAAUAAUAGAAUAGGACGGUGGUCCUGUUUUGUUGGUUUCUGAAUCACCGUAAUGAUUAAUAGGGAUAGUUGGGGGCAUUAGUAUUCAAUUGUCAGAGGUGAAAUUCUUGGAUUUAUUGAAGACUAACUUCUGCGAAAGCGUUUGCCAAGGAUGUUUUCAUUAAUCAAGAACGAAAGUUAGGGGAUCGAAGACGAUCAGAUACCGUCGUAGUCUUAACCAUAAACUAUGCCGACUAGGGAUCGGACGAUGUUAAUUUUUCUUGACUCGUUCGGCGCCUUACGGGAAAC
rnacentral:rRNA from 1 species